UACGUAGGGUGCAAGCGUUGCCCGGAUUUAUUGGGCGUAAAGGGCGCGUAGGCGGCUCUGCACGUCCGUUGUGAAAUCGCCCGGCUCAACUGGGCGGGGUCAGCGGAUACGGCAGAGCUUGAGCAAGCUAGGGGGCAAUGGAAUUCACGGUGUAGCAGUGAAAUGCGUAGAUAUCGUGAGGAACACCAGAGGCGAAGGCGGUUACCUGGACAGUUACUGACGCUCAGGCACGAAAGCAUGGGGAGCAAAAGGG
rnacentral:rRNA from 1 species